rnacentral:rRNA from 1 species
AGUGAACGCUGGCGGUAGGCCUAACACAUGCAAGUCGAACGGCAGCACAGUAAGAGCUUGCGCUUACGGGUGGCGAGUGGCGGACGGGUGAGGAAUACAUCGGAAUCUACUUUUUAGUGGGGGAUAACGUAGGGAAACUUACGCUAAUACCGCAUACGACCUACGGGUGAAAGCAGGGGAUCUUCGGACCUUGCGCGAUUGAAUGAGCCGAUGUCGGAUUAGCUAGUUGGCGGGGUAAAGGCCCACCAAGGCGACGAUCCGUAGCUGGUCUGAGAGGAUGAUCAGCCACACUGGAACUGAGACACGGUCCAGACUCCUACGGGAGGCAGCAGUGGGGAAUAUUGGACAAUGGGCGCAAGCCUGAUCCAGCCAUGCCGCGUGUGUGAAGAAGGCCUUCGGGUUGUAAAGCCCUUUUGUUGGGAAGGAAAAGCAGCAAGUUAAUACCCCGCUGUUCUGACGGUACCCAAAGAAUAAGCACCGGCUAACUUCGUG